UGAGGGGAGUCGAGUCUCCCGCGCCCCGCCACCCCCGGCAGAGCUACUGCUGAGCUGUUCAUUCUGAGCCCUGGCUACCAACAAAGUUCGUUAAAAAAAAAAACCAUAAUCAACCCUAAAAGAGUGAAAGAGGGCGCGAGCCAGCCAGGCGGCCCUGCCGGAGGAGCCGGCGCAGAAGGAGAAAGGCGGCGGCAGCUGUUGCGCCGCGACCAGGAGCAGCUGCUGGUCGCGCUGGGCGGCGGGUCCGCGCCAGGCGGGGGUCGGUGAGUAGCGGCUCGCGCUCCGGGGCAGCGGUGCUGCGCUCACCCGCCUUCUCCCGGGGCUGGUGGUUUCUUCCGCCCCGCUGGGUAAGGACUCGCUUCUCCCCGGGGUCCCGGGAUGUACCUUACUCUGGGGAGUGGAGAGGGGUGUCGGGGCAGGGGCCUCCAGGCCCAGGAUCCCAUUCCCCGGCCGGACCUCUCAGCACCCGCCCGCCUGCCCCUGAGCACAGAGCCCAAGUUCGAGCCGGAGGAGGUGGGCGGCAGUGCCUGCCUGGCGCCCCCUCCCAGCUCCAGCGAUUUGAGAGAGAAGAUCUGAUCACCUGGGAUUAGAGUUGGUACAGAAACUAUUUCACCUCCAAAAAUGUUGGAGGAAGACAUGGAAGUGGCCAUCAAGAUGGUGGUUGUAGGGAAUGGAGCAGUUGGAAAAUCAAGUAUGAUUCAGCGAUACUGCAAAGGCAUCUUUACAAAAGACUACAAGAAAACCAUUGGAGUUGAUUUUUUGGAGCGACAAAUUCAAGUUAAUGAUGAAGAUGUCAGACUAAUGUUAUGGGACACUGCAGGUCAAGAGGAGUUUGAUGCGAUAACAAAGGCCUACUAUCGAGGUAAAAUGCAGGAUUUGUUUAUUAUUUUUUUGUUUCAGCACAUUCUUUUGGCUUAAGAAAGAACUUUGCU